UAAUAUUAGUUUUUGCUAAGUUAUAUUACAAUUUUAUAUUUCCCUCUAAUUUAUAUAUACGUGGAUAUAUAAUUCAUUAUUUUUAAUGAUGUACUAGAAAAGCUAGUGCUCUACAUACACUACAAUUAUAAAGAUAUGAAGGUUCAACACUCGAUCUCUAAGCAAUUGACCUUAGGGUCACAAUCAAUGAAAACAAGACCCAGCAAACAAAUUUUAUGGUGUUGGGUUGAUGAAAUAGACAAGGGGUAGCCUCACUAUGACACCCUCCAUCAUCAAGCACUACUCUUUUUCUACCUUGGAAUAAACAUAGGGACCCUCCAAGCAUGAGAAAAAGUUUUUCUUUGCAUCUCCCACUUUGAAGUGCACAAGGGCCCUUUUCAACCAACCACUUCUAAGUUUUCCCUUUUCCCUUUUCCCAUGACUACUAUUAUAUAAAUUACCCAUCACAU
rnacentral:lncRNA from 1 species